rnacentral:rRNA from 1 species
GUUACUCUUAACGGUGGAUCACUUGGCUCGUGGAUCGAUGAAGAACGCAGCUAGCUGCGAUAAGUAGUGCGAAUUGCAGACGCAUUGAGCACAAAAAUUUCGAAUGCACAUUGCGCCAUUGGGUUCAUUCCUGAUGGUACAUUUGAUUGAGGGUCAAAU